UUCAGAGUCAGAGUGGAGUGAUGACCUGGCUCUCCAAUGGCUUCACCAGUGCUCUGCCUCAACCAACAGGCAGCCCUAACCUCAGCAGAUCCAACUCUGUAUCCAGGUCACUGCAGGAGGUACAAAGAGAGGAUGAAAGGAAUGGGGUGAUUAAGUGGAUUGCAGAGGGACUGAGCAAGGUGGUGCCUCAGCCGGAUGACAAGUACAGAGAGGAUAUUCGAGAGGAGGAGGAGGAAGAGACAGAGGUGAG